rnacentral:rRNA from 1 species
ACGAACGCUGGCGGCGUGCUUAACACAUGCAAGUCGAACGCUGAAGCUCAGCUUUUGUUGGGUGGAUGAGUGGCGAACGGGUGAGUAACACGUGAGUAACCUGCCUCCUUCUUUGGGAUAACGCCCGGAAACGGGUGCUAAUACUGGAUAUUCACUGGUCUUCGCAUGGGGGUUGGUGGAAAGGGUUUUUCUGGUGGGGGAUGGGCUCGCGGCCUAUCAGCUUGUUGGUGGGGUGAUGGCCUACCAAGGCUUUGACGGGUAGCCGGCCUGAGAGGGUGACCGGUCACAUUGGGACUGAGAUACGGCCCAGACUCCUACGGGAGGCAGCAGUGGGGAAUAUUGCACAAUGGGCGCAAGCCUGAUGCAGCGACGCCGCGUGAGGGAUGGAGGCCUUCGGGUUGUGAACCUCUUUCGCUCAUGGUCAAGCCGCAACAAUGGUUGUGGUGAGGGUAGUGGGUAAAGAAGCGCCGGCUAACUACGU